rnacentral:rRNA from 1 species
UGGGGAAUAUUGCACAAUGGGCGCAAGCCUGAUGCAGCCAUGCCGCGUGUGUGAAGAAGGCCUUCGGGUUGUAAAGCACUUUCAGCGAGGAGGAAGGUGGUGAGCUUAAUACGCUCAUCAAUUGACGUUACUCGCAGAAGAAGCACCGGCUAACUCCGUGCCAGCAGCCGCGGUAAUACGGAGGGUGCAAGCGUUAAUCGGAAUUACUGGGCGUAAAGCGCACGCAGGCGGUUUGUUAAGUCAGAUGUGAAAUCCCCGGGCUCAACCUGGGAACUGCAUUUGAAACUGGCAAGCUAGAGUCUCGUAGAGGGGGGUAGAAUUCCAGGUGUAGCGGUGAAAUGCGUAGAGAUCUGGAGGAAUACCGGUGGCGAAGGCGGCCCCCCUGGACGAAGACUGACGCUCAGGUGCGAAAGCGUGGGGCAGCAAACAGGAUUAGAUACCCCUGGUAGUCCAGCGCUGUAAACGAUGUCGAUUUGGAGGUUGUGCCCUUGAGGCGUGGCUUCCGGAGCUAACGCGUUAAAUCGACCGCCUGGGGGAGUACGGCCGCAAGGUUAAAACUUAAAGGAAUUGACGGGGUC